rnacentral:rRNA from 1 species
UUUUCCGGUUGAUCCCGCCGGGACUGACUGCUAUCGGAUUGAUACUAAGCCAUGCGAGUCAUUGUAGCAAUACAAGGCAGACGGCUCAGUAACGCGUAGUCAAUCUACCCUAUGGACGGGAAUAACCUCGGGAAACUGAGAAUAAUGCCCGAUAGAACAUUAUGCCUGGAAUGGUUUAUGUUUCAAAUGAUUUAUCGCCAUAGGAUGGGACUGCGGCCUAUCAGUUUGUUGGUGAGGUAAUGGCCCACCAAGACUAUUACAGGUACGGGCUCUGAGAGGAGUAGCCCGGAGAUGGGUACUGAGACACGGACCCAGGCCCUAUGGGGCGCAGCAGGCGAGAAAACUUUGCAAUGUGCGAAAGCACGACAAGGUUAAUCCGAGUGGUUUCUGCUAAAGAAACCUUUUGUCAGUCCUAGAAACACUAACGAAUAAGGGGUGGGCAAGUUCUGGUGUCAGCCGCCGCGGUAAAACCAGCACCUCAAGUGGUCAGGAUGAUUAUUGGGCCUAAAGCAUCCGUAGCUCGUUUUGUAAGUUUUCGGUUAAAUCCAUGCGCUUAACGUAUGGGCUGCCGGGAAUACUGCAUAACUAGGAAGUGGGAGAGGUAGACGGUACUCGGUAGGAAGGGGUAAACUCCUUUGAUCUAUUGAUGACCACCUGUGGCGAAGGCGGUCUACCAGAACACGUUCGACGGUGAGGGAUGAAAGCUGGGGGAGCAAACCGGAUUAGAUACCCGGGUAGUCCCAGCUGUAAACUAUGCAAACUCAGUGAUGCAUUGGCUUGUGGCCAAUGCAGUGCUGCAGGGAAGCCGUUAAGUUUGCCGCCUGGGAAGUACGUACGCAAGUAUGAAACUUAAAGGAAUUGGCGGGGGAGCAC